AGUGUGGUGCUCUACUCUUGUUCAAUGAUGAUAACAGUCGGCUGCGUGCGUGUUCCCUCUGAGUGCUGCCCCAGCUCUGCGCAGAUCGCUGACACAGCAGACCCCGAGAGAACCCCCAAUGACCGCACACUCUAGUAAAGUAUGAAGGAACCCGAGCCAGGUUUAUUGUCAAAGGAAACACAGUAAUAGUUUCCUAUAGACUCUACAGGACGAUCUACGAAUAUGUGCCCCCUGGCAAUGGACGCAGCUCAGUCAGUGGUGGGACUUUCCACUGCCCCCUAGGCUGGCCAAAAAUACAUACUCCGGCACCUACUUAUAUACAGUUACAGGACAAAUUACUCAUCUCUCCUGACGUAUUGAGGUACAGCCUCUUGGCUCAUUAGGGUGCUAUCUCCCCUUUGAUCAUAUUGUUCCAGACAUACAGAUCUAGCCAUCAUGCUGUCCUGUCUUUAAGAUGCACCUGCCUGUUCUUUGUUAUGUCUAUGGAGGGUCCUUGUAUCGGGCUAUGCAGGUGCCAUCUUGGCACAAGUUCCUCUUAUUAGCACUUAUAUGAUAAGCACCUGCUUCUAACAACCUUCUUCUUGCCAGUGUCUGUGAGCAGGGCCUGCUUCUGGCUCACAGCACAGCUUUUGCUUAGCAGUGCCUGGAAGUACUUUGGUUCAGGCUUCAGGCCUCAGACUAGGCCUCUGACACAAGAAUGUAUAUUUCAGGGCCUCAUCUUACUACACCCCCAUGACUGUUGGCCCCUUACUGAAACUUAGUGGGGGUGGAAGGGGUUGGUUGGCUUCUCCCAGUACCAAAAGACAGGAAGGGCUAAUGAGAAAAGAAAACCCUGAGGCAGGCAGGCCAAUGAGGGAGUCAGGUGCCAGUUCUCUGUGUGAGCUGGAGCUGCCUGCCAGAGAAGGGCAGAGGAGCAGCCUGAGCUGGGUUGGAGGCAGAGUUGCAGAAGCACUGAUGCUGAGGGUUGCUGAGUCUGGAGCAGUCUGGAGCUGGGUGUGGUGAGCAGCUGGGGAGAGCGAGGGGGGACACUGGGCAGCGUGGGAUGACAUCAUGUUUUCCAUUCCCCUUUCCCAUUUUUUACUUAUUUUUUUAUUACUUGCUGUUUAAUAAAUCGUAUUUCUUCUGAACUCUAUGCAAUGCUGAAUGGCGACAUCAGGGAUGCGUCCGGAGUGAAGAGAGCACCCCAGAGUGGGGAUACGACACCCUAGUCUCUGUCCUGAGUGAUCGCAACAAAAUUGGGGAUGCAGACCCCGCAGGAAUCUUGGGGCCAGCCUUGUCGGGGUUUCAGACACCAGAGUGGAAGGGGAGUCCUCGAGGUCAGGCAGGUCUCCAGGCUGACGAAUCACGUCCACGUUUUGGUCCAGAUGGGCCCGUCUUCCAGGACACAGGGAAGGGAAAUGUCUGUGAUGGAGCCGGCUCAGAUGCCGGUGACCUUCGAGGAGGUAGCUGUGUAUUUCACCCAGGGGCAGG